rnacentral:rRNA from 1 species
UACGGAGGGUGCAAGCGUUAUCCGGAUUCACUGGGUUUAAAGGGUGCGUAGGCGGCAUGCCAAGCGUGUGGUGAAAGCCCGGGGCUCAACCCCGGGUCGGCCGUGCGGACUGGCGUGCUCGAGCACUGUAGGGGCGGGUGGAAUUCCGGGUGUAGCGGUGGAAUGCGUAGAGAUCCGGAAGAACACCGGUGGCGAAGGCGGCCCGCUGGGCAGGAAGGCUCGCAAGAGCCGGCUGACGCUGAGGCGCGACAGCGUGGGGAGCAAACAGG